UCAGUGUAUUGGUUAAUUCAAAAAGCCGAAGAGAUACUAGGACAUAGAUGGCACUUGUGAGCAUGAAAUUCAGCAAUGGAUAUUCUGGUAUGAUAGAAAGAAGCCACUUAGGCUGUCCAUUCGGAAUGUUUGAUCUCAGCCAGAUGUGGAACUGUGAAAUAUAGGUCUCCAAAGUUAUCUUUCCUAGCCAAGCAAAGAGAGUCAAAGAGAAACUCCGUAGCUGCUGAGUGAAAUUCCGCAAGCAAAUGUACACAGUGAUGGGGAUCCACGAUGUGUAAGGGUGGUACUUGUUGUAUGUAACCUUGUCCAGCUUGUAAAUAUAUUCAUACCACAAAUAGCCAACCAGCAAGGAACCUGACACAAUUCCUGUUUUGAUUGAGAGUUUCUUCUUGGUUUCAGAUUCCUCCAAUUUCUCCAUCCAUUUCUCUACAUUUGGGUGGCAAUAUGCAUAUAUCAUUCCAAUGAUCCAAAUAUAGCGAUCAAGUCCUGAUCUGAAAUGCCACUCAUGCAAUCGGGGGAGAUCUGGCUUUGCAGGAUCAGUAUACCCCAAUAAGAAUGGUAAAGGACUCCAGAGAAAAUAAAAAACUCCAGGUAUCUCCCAAACCAAGAUAACCACAAGAAAGCAUGAAAGAAUCU
rnacentral:misc_RNA from 1 species